CCGCCACGCCCCGGCCCCCCCAGCCCCGUGAACCCCACAAAGUGCUGAGUAACGGUGACCAGGAAGUAUCUUGGUGUCUCUGAGUGGUUCUUGACCACCUAAUUCAUCAUAGCCAAAGGUGCUCGAUGAUACUGCACAUUCCUGGACCACACCCAGACAGACAUACAGAAUCGGUCUUUUGAGAAUUUCUGGUAAUGAUGCAGAAGUAGGCUUAGAAACCAAGCAGAAGACAGGAAGGUAUUUAGCAGCCUGGAAGAUGCCUGAUAAACCCAGUCUGAUGAGGGCUCUCCUGCCUUCACCACUCAACACUCUGCUGCCGCCAGAAACUGGAUGCCGUUGGAUAAGGGUUGUCAGACAAAAUACAAGCCCUGUACUGGAUGUCCCAUUGUUACUACCACGGCUGUCCCUGUAAACUAGGCGCCACCUGCCACUCAAAUGGAUUUUCCAGGUGGUUCCUGGCUCUUUGCAUCAUGGGUUCUGAAAAGAACCUGAGUCAGGACACAAUUGGAGAAACCAGUUAUUUUACCAAAGCUUUGGAAUGGUGUACUUUCCCUUAAGGAAUCAAAUUUGACUUAUGGAAACAAUGAAAGUCCCUUGGGAAAACUGGCCUCAUACCUUGUGUCUACACAGUUCCUCUACAGGAUUCCUGA